rnacentral:misc_RNA from 1 species
AACCAUAGAAACCUGCGGAGUACCUGCGGAAGGAUCAUUACCGAGUUUACAACUCCCAAACCCCUGUGAACAUACCACUUGUUGCCUCGGCGGAUCAGCCCGCUCCCGGUAAAACGGGACGGCCCGCCAGAGGACCCCUAAACUCUGUUUCUAUAUGUAACUUCUGAGUAAAACCAUAAAUAAAUCAAAACUUUCAGCAACGGAUCU